rnacentral:rRNA from 1 species
AUGGACCUUGUCAGCCAAGAGAGAUUGAUUUUGAAUCCUCAGAUUUUGGGGGUAAACAGAGAAAGUUCAAUCCCGAAUGGUUUGAUGAAUUUGAGAGCUGGGAUCGUAGUCAGAAGAAAGAAGCUGGAUAUGAGGCAUUCGUUGUGA